GCACUUUGCAAUAACACCAAGCUAGCGACCAUAGGGUUUCUGUGUCUUUGGGCUAACAAGUCUUCUGGUAUUAACAAAUAAAGUUUAUCUUUUAGUAACUAACAUUUUAAGGGGGGACUGUUGUAGAAUUAUAGAAUUCUUGAAAUUAUCUAAGCUAAUACUUUGGCAGGAAGAAAUGUGCGUCAGCAGAACAAUGAGUUUCUGUUGAAUGAAAUAUUGUAGCAACUGAGCCACAUGUUGGUCUUAAUAAAGUACGUGUCAGCUGAAUAAUAUGUGUAUUUACUAAAAGAACCUUGAAACGAACGCUACCAACUACUCAAAAUGGCUGCCAAAGCACCCCUCCCAUCGAGUGAACACCUCGUGCUUGUGUCCACUCCCGUGUCAAGGAUGACACCACCUCUUGAUGGGAGGGCAUCUAACUAACCACUUAACACCUGGACCAAUCAAUAGUGUCUAUUUGCUGUUAUCUUGAAUUCUUCAGUGAUGUAAAAAUGCCUUUAU